rnacentral:tRNA from 1 species
GCCUUCGUGGUGUAGUGGUCAGCGCGCUCGACGCGUAUUCGAGAGGUCUGUGGUUCGAUUCCAGGCGAGGGUA